rnacentral:rRNA from 1 species
AUUGAACGCUGGCGGCAGGCUUAACACAUGCAAGUCGGGCGAGUGGCGGACGGGUGAGUAACGCAUGGGGAUCUGCCUGAUGGCGGGGGAUAACUACUGGAAACGGCAGCUAAUACCGCAUACCAUCCGAUCAACCCAUAUGGGAUUAGCGAGUAGGCGGGGUAACGGCUUACCUAGGCGACGAUCCCUAGCUGGUCUGAGAGGAUGAUCAGCCACACGGGGACUGAGACACGGCCCAGACGCCUACGUGAGGCAGCAGUGGGGAAUAUUGCACAAUGGGCGCAAGCCUGAUGCAGCCAUGCCGCGUGUCUGAAGAAGGCCUUCGGGUUGUAAAGGACUUUCAGUCGGGAGGCGUUACCGACAGAAGAAGCACCGGCUAACUCCGUGCCAGCAGCCGCGGUAAUAC